CAUCUGGUUAGAUUAGCUCACGGGCAGGUUUUUGUAGAGGUGCAUAUGUCAGAGUCUUCACUGUGGCUCACGUUCGGUUCUGGGACCAAGCUGGAGAUCAAACGGGCUGAUGCUGCACCAACUGUAUCCAUCUUCCCACCAUCCACGGAACAGUUAGCAACUGGAGGUGCCUCAGUCGUGUGCCUCCUGAACAACUUCUAUCCCAGAGACAUCAGUGUCAAGUGGAAGGUUGAUGGCAGUGAACGACGAGAUGGUGUCCUGGACAGUGUUACUGAUCAGGACAGCAAAGACAGCACGUACAGCAUGAGCAGCACCCUCUCGUUGACCAAGGCUGACUAUGAAAGUCAUAACCUCUAUACCUGUGAGGUUGUUCAUAAGACAUCAUCCUCACCCGUCGUCAAGAGCUUCAACAGGAAUGAGUGUUAGACCCAAAGGUCCUGAGGUGCCACCUGCUCCCCAGAUCCUUCCAAUCUUCCCUCCUAAGGUCUUGGAGACUUCCCCACAAGCGACCUACCACUGUUGCGGUGCUCCAAACCUCCUCCCCACCUCAUCCUCCUUCCUUUCCUUGGCUUUGAUCAUGCUAAUAUUUGGGGAAUAUUAAAUAAAGUGAAUCUUUGCACUUGA